UCAGACGAUGCGUCAUGCAUAUCAAUAAGCGGAGGAAAAGAAACUAACAAGGAUUCCCUUAGUAACGGCGAGUGAAGCGGGAAGAGCUCAAAUUUGAAAUCUUCAAGGUUUUACCUUGACGAAUUGUAGUUUAAAGAAGUGUUUUCUGCUGAAGUUUUGGUAAAAGUUCUUUGGAAUAGGACAUCAUAGAGGGUGAGAAUCCCGUAUUUGAUCAUUAUGUUCAGCUUUGUGAUACACUUUCAAAGAGUCGGAUUGUUUGGGAAUGCAGUCCCAAAACGGGAGGUAAAUUUCAUUCUAAAGGCUAAAUAUUGGCGAGAGACCGAUAGCGAAGCAAGUACCGUGAGGGAAAGAUGAAAAGAACUUUGAAAAGAGAGUUAAAUAGUACGUGAAAUUGUCAAAAGGGAAGCGUUUAGACACCAGUGUUGUUUUCUCGAAAAUCAAUUAAAAAUGGCUCGAUUUUGUAUUGCUUUGAGACCUUAAAAGCUCACUGUACAUUUUUCGUGUCUUUUUUAAUGCACUUUUCGUUUAACAAGUCAACAUCAGUUUCUUUUGUUGUAAAAGGGUCAUUGGAAGGUGGCUUUCUUUUCGGAGAAAGUGUUUAUAGCCUUUGGCCUCUGCAAUCGGAGAGACUGAGGUCUGCAGCGUAGACUCUUCGGGGUUAGAUACAUUUGUGCUAAGUUAUAGCUUUUUAUAGACAACUUGUUGACUAUAAUUAGUCUUGUAGCUUACUCGCUUAUGCUAUUUUACCUACGCUUAGGAUGUUGACUGAUAUGUAGUCGUA
rnacentral:rRNA from 1 species